rnacentral:rRNA from 1 species
GAUGAACGCUGGCGGCGUGCCUAAUACAUGCAAGUCGAGCGAACAGACGAGGAGCUUGCUCCUCUGACGUUAGCGGCGGACGGGUGAGUAACACGUGGAUAACCUACCUAUAAGACUGGGAUAACUUCGGGAAACCGGAGCUAAUACCGGAUAACAUGUUGAACCGCAUGGUUCAACAGUGAAAGACGGUCUUGCUGUCACUUAUAGAUGGAUCCGCGCCGCAUUAGCUAGUUGGUAAGGUAACGGCUUACCAAGGCAACGAUGCGUAGCCGACCUGAGAGGGUGAUCGGCCACACUGGAACUGAGACACGGUCCAGACUCCUACGGGAGGCAGCAGUAGGGAAUCUUACGCAAUGGGCGAAAGCCUGACGGAGCAACGCCGCGUGAGUGAUGAAGGUCUUCGGAUCGUAAAACUCUGUUAUUAGGGAAGAACAAAUGUGUAAGUAACUAUGCACGUCUUGACGGUACCUAAUCAGAAAGCCACGGCUAACUACGUG